rnacentral:lncRNA from 10 species
AUUUAACACUUCUGGAAUGUAUUUAAUGAAGAUUAGAGAUAAAAUGCAAACAAGCUGUAAGUAUUUUAAAAUGGAAGGGUACCACUAUUUGCAGAUGAAAUCGUAUUUCUGGAAAGUCAAGGUAACAGGGUGAAAUAGCUCUGGGAUUACUGAGAAGUCUUAAUAAAGUGUCUGGAUAUAAGAUAAAUAUACUUUUUUUGGACAAAAUAAAUAGUACAUCCUUAAUAGCAGUACAAAAUAUUAAAACAAAAAUAUGAAAUUUGUAUGAUCAAUCUUUACAAAAUAUGCACAGACCUGUAUAAAUUUAAUACUGGGAUAAAAGGAAGACAAAUAAAUGGGAAACUACAUUUCUGGGUGAAGAGACAAAGCACUAAAAAUAUGUUCUUUAUAAAUUACUUCCUAGUUUUAAUGAAAUUCCAAUAAAAUCCCCAAAAGAGAGGAGCUUUGAAAAUUUUGAAAAGAGUGAAAAGGGGACUGGCACUGUCAGGGUUACAAUAUAAUUUAAUCUCUGAUAAUCAAAUCAGUCUAAUCAUAGCAAUAUAAUAAAAAAUUGAAACAGAUCAAUUGAACAGAAUAGGUAGCCCGGAAACAGAUCUUAUUAUGAACUAAUUAUGUGUAUAUGACAAAAGUGGUAUUACACCACAAUGCAGAAGAAAAAGAUUAUUCAGUAAAUGGUGUUGGUGUAACAAAUAAAGUAUAAAUGCAGAUUUUCAUCCCAUAGUGUAUGCCAAAAUAAAUUCCAAAAUCAAAUUUUUACUAAAGCCUUUAAACAAAUAUAAAUGAAGGUAAAUAUUUAUUAACUAAAGUGUUCUAAUACAUUGCAAAGGCAACAAGCAGCAAAUUUGCCUACGUAAAAUUUCCCUUAGGAGAAAGUUCAAUGAAGUGCAAUAGACCCUAGAGAUCUGACUCAUCACUAGCUUCUAUGUCUAGCACAUAGUGUGUGCUCUAAUAAAUCUUUACAGAACACAUGAAAACUUUUUUCUUACUUUUUUGAAAGGCAGCAGCACUAUCAUUUUUUAACAAUAUGACAAAUUGGGAAAAAUGUGUCAUAUAUGAAGCAGGAUUAGUAUCCUCUUAUUAAACAUUUGAUUAGUAUACUCUUAUGAAACAUUUAUACAAAUGGUAAACUUCAUUAAGACCCAUGAGGUACACAAGUAUGUGAACAAACUGCCACAAAAGAGGGGAUACAAAGAUUAAUCAAUAGUGGGGAAAUGUUGAAUGUGAAUAACAGAAUUGAAUAUUAUCUGUCAAGUUAAAAUAUUUUUUUAAAAUAAAAAAUAGCAAUAUCCAAUGCUGGUUUGAGUAUAAGUGUAAUAGCUCAUCUCAUACAAUUUGGGGGACUUAAUACGAACUUCAUAGAAGGGUGAUUUUGCAUUCUAUGUUGACAGCCUUAAAAAUAUCUACCACUUUUGAUCCCGUAAUUAUUUUUCACAUAAUUUAUCUUAAAACAUUACUUGUUAGAAAGAAAAAAAGUUUAUGAAAAAAGGUCAUCAUAUGAUCACAGAUAUUAGUAAAAUUGGGCAAAUACAUGUCAAACAACGGGAAAAUGAAUCUUAUGGUAUAGCCUUUCAAUGGAAUAGUAUAUAGCCAUUUAAAUUAUUUUAAAAAUUAUUCUAUAUUUAUUUAAAUUAUUUAUCUUUAUUGUCCCAUUAAACAGAGGAGGAAGCUGAUACACAGAGGGUUUAUGUGACUUGUUCAGUCUCUGAACUAACUAGCAGGAUGUGAUAUCGAGCAGGCUGCCUUCCUAGUCCACACUCUUAAUCAAUGCACCAUACCGCCUGUGUUUGUUAAAACAUAAAAAAAAAUGUUUUCAGUAGUUUUAUGGGUGUGUGUGCACAGGUGCAUCUACGGGGGGCUCCUUGAUCUCCUCUGUACACUUUCACAUCUUCCAAAGUUUCUACAAUAAGCAUGAUUUUUAAACAUUGUAAAUGACCUUAAUGAAUUGUAAUAUUCUUUUAUAAUCCUCAAGUAAACUUCAUUUUGUGUAGUCACACUCAAGAGUUUUCAUCUUGGGAUUAUUGGCACCCCCUAUUUCCAGUUCUCUCUCCAUAGAUGCCCUGGAGAGCCUCUGGCCUCG